ACUCCUACGGGAGGCAGCAGUGGGGAAUUUUGGACAAUGGGCGAAAGCCUGAUCCAGCCAUGCCGCGUGAGUGAAGAAGGCCUUCGGGUUGUAAAGCUCUUUCAGGUGGAAAGAAAUCACUACCCGAUCACGGGUGGUGGAUGACGUUAGCGACAGAAGAAGCACCGGCUAACUCCGUGCCAGCAGCCGCGGUAAUACGGAGGGUGCGAGCGUUAAUCGGAAUUACUGGGCGUAAAGCGCAUGCAGGUGGUUUGUUAAGUCAGAUGUGAAAGCCCGGGCUGCAACCUCGGAACUGCAUUUGAAACUGGCAGACUAGAGUACUGUAGAGGGGUGGAGAAUUUCAGGUGUAGCGGUGAAAUGCGUAGAGAUCUGAAGGAAUACCGGUGGCGAAGGCGGCCCCUCGGACAGAUACUGACACUC
rnacentral:rRNA from 1 species